ensembl:lncRNA
GUGAAUCUCCCUGUACAACAUGACUGCUGACUCCUCAGUGAGGGACAGGAGGGCUGCCCUCACGGGACACGCUCAGACCAGAUCCACUCUGGGAGCUUUGGGUGACUGAAAUUGUUUCUCUUUCAAGUUGUACUUCUAAAAUUGCACUUUGCAUGAUAAAAUAAGAACACAACUCUGGAAAUAUAGGAGCAAGGCACAGACAGAGCCAACUAGAACGGGAGCAGUAUCACAUCCAACCAUCUGUCCAGAGCCCUGACUUAUCCAUGCUGUUCAACUUUUCCUCCACUCCAUCUCCCCUGUAGAAACAAAUCCCUUCUAUGUAUCCUCACCCAAGGAAGACUGGAGCAUGAUGACUGAGGGCUACAAGAUUUCAAGAGAGAUAGGCAGGGAAAGUGGAGUGGGGAAGUUGCCCUUCAUAUUGAGAUGAUGACUGUUCAAAUAACACAUAGCAAGAGAAGCAGAGUCUCCUGCUUCUGCUGCAGUGAGCCACAAGAACGUACCACUUACAUCAAGUGCUACUUGGACUGACAACAUCUCCAGCACAAGAGGAUCUAAGGACUGCACACAGCGUCUCACUUUAAACACUGAGCUUUGCAGACAUGUUACACUGCAACUUCAAAGAUACUUAUAUCCCCCCCAAACCUUCACUCUGAUCUUGAUAAACCCCUGAAUUCAUCAGCUGCUCCGUCACAAGGAAUUUGUUUCACGCCAAGGAAAUAAGUAGUGUUUCUCUCUGACUUAACUGCAGCAGGCUGUGGUGGCAGAGAGGCUUUACCCUGUACUAAUGACUCUUAGGAGGGCUGGCUUCCUGAAAGAGUCAAACACACAGCAUAAAAAUGAUUCGGAAGCAGCUCAAUACCUCAUUUUAUAGAAAACAAUAGCCCAGGACACAAAUCAACAGCAGUAGGGAAAUUAUCAGCCAGAGAGUGCACCGCUUUUUGCUGCAGAAGUGCUGGCAGGCUCUGCUCCUUCCCUCCCUGAAGCAGGGGCAGGUAGAGCAGUGCAAGGCAUGCAAGAGCAAUGCAAUCUCAGGGCACAGCCCUGCUUGUGGCGAUGCAGACAGACAGUGGAGGAUUGCACAUCACCUGUUCAGCAGCACAGUUCAGUUUCCCCACUCUGCAGCAAGGAAGUGUUUCCUGAUUAGCUGAGUAAAUCCACAGCUGCACUCGUUGUCACCUUGGUAAUCUGCUUGGAGCAGUUUCUUCCUUCAAUAGCUCUCAAAAUUGGCACUGAAAGGAUGAUAAGUUUUUAAAACACCUGGGAAACAUUUCUGGACUUCUCAUCUGAAAGCCAUCUAGAUGGGCACACGCCAUUGCUCCCAUAACGUGGAGGCUGAAUUUCCUUGCUGCCAGUGACAGGAUGAAGAGGCACAAUCACUUAAUACAAAGAACACGUGCAAGAGCGGUUUGUUAAGGACUGAUAUCAGAACAAACCUCAACUGCUGUCUCCAGUGAGAGGACAGAGGGGAUUCCCUCAUUUUCUGAUGUGUCCUCCAGGAUCCUACACGGCUGCAUGGCCCUCUCUAGCCAGCAAGGGUUGGGCUGUGGCUCCCAGACUCCAGCAGAGGACAAGUUUGAUCAGCACUAGCACAGCUAUGCAUCUCGUGUCCUGCAGCAAGACUCGGGUCGGGGCCUGAUGGCUUACAUCCCAACACACACAACAGGGAUCUCUCAAGCUCACUGAAAGGCUCUGUGCCACUCCUCCCUCCCUAAAUGAAUUACACCAAUGGAGAGCUCCUGCAUAUAUUUUGUUUGUUUGCUUUUGAACCAAAAAGGAACAACUGUUGAAGGUUUUUUUCACUGUUGUUUUCAUUGCAAGAAUUUCAGUGCUGAAUAUUUAGGCCGUGCUCUCUGAAAAGACUAACACGGUUAUUAAAGCAGCGGAC